GACGAACGCUGGCGGCGUGCUUAACACAUGCAAGUCGAACGGUGAAGCGCCUUCCUUUUUGGUGGGUGUGGAUGAGUGGCGAACGGGUGAGUAACACGUGAGUAACCUGCCCCCUUCUUCUGGAUAACCGCAUGAAAGUGUGGCUAAUACGGGAUAUUCUGGGUCUGUCGCAUGAUGGGUCUGGGAAAGAUAUUGUUUCGGUGGGGGAUGGGCUCGCAGCCUAUCAGCUUGUUGGUGGGGUGAUGGCCUACCAAGGCGGUGACGGGUAGCCGGCCUGAGAGGGUGGACGGUCACACUGGGACUGAGACACGGCCCAGACUCCUACGGGAGGCAGCAGUGGGGAAUAUUGCACAAUGGGCGCAAGCCUGAUGCAGCGACGCCGCGUGAGGGAUGGAGGCCUUCGGGUUGUGAACCUCUUUCGCCAGUGAAGCAGGCCUGCCUCGUUUGUGGGUGGGUUGACGGUAGCUGGAGAAGAAGCGCCGGCUAACUACGUG
rnacentral:rRNA from 1 species